rnacentral:rRNA from 1 species
CAGCAGCCGCGGGAAUACGUAGGUGGCAAGCGUUGUCCGGAAUUAUUGGGCGUAAAGGGCUCGCAGGCGGUUUCUUAAGUCUGAUGUGAAAGCCCCCGGCUCAACCGGGGAGGGUCAUUGGAAACCGGGAAACUUGAGUGCAGAAGAGGAGAGUGGAAUUCCACGUGUAGCGGUGAAAUGCGUAGAGAUGUGGAGAAACACCAGUGGCGAAGGCGACUCUCUGGUCUGUAACUGACGCUGAGGAGCGAAAGCGUGGGGAGCGAACAGGAUUAGAGACCCCCGUAGUCCCUGUCUCUUAUAC